rnacentral:lncRNA from 1 species
GUCCCGAGCUCCUGCCAACCCUGUGACAUUAAUAUUCCCAGGCUGGAGACGUCGGGCAGCUCUCGGUUCCCCCUUUCAAGCCGACAAUUUCUUCAUUUCCUCUCAUCCCUUGUCCCGGGACCUCCUCUCCCACCCUUUGCUUCUAAAUUUACCUCUCUGACAAUAGCAAGUUGAAUAAUUGAUCCCCUGAUUUGAGCCGGGCUCAGUGUGCGCAGAAACCCGAGGAAUCUUGGCACUGGGCAGGGGAAACAGGAGAGGAAUGAGCUCACCUCUUCGAGUCAGACUAGUCCCAGUUUUUACGGACGGCGGCUCUCAUUGGCUGCCUCCUGAAAGAAACACAACCUUCUGGGUAUAAAAGAGAAGAAGAGAGGCCAGGGGGUGAGUAUAGGAGACUGACACAAGCUCCCCCAGCCAGGACUGCUUUCGGAUUAGCAGAAGUAUGGCGACUUUUGUUCCAUGUGCUUCCUGCUACAGCAACGGCAGACCGGUGCCGCUGUUUGGGAUGGGCAACACGGGCGGCUACCUCUCCCUCCUGACCUAUCACGGGCCGCUGGCGCCCCGGCGCCGCCUCACCUACCACACCCCCAAGAUGACGCUGCGCCAGAUCUGCCGACUCAUCCGCAUCCUGCAGCAGGUCCGCAACAGGGAGGCAGCGCUGGCACGUGCCGCCAGGAUGCCCGCCCCAGCUCUGCCAGCCGCAGGGCCGCCGGUGGCCAAGGCCCCUGAGAAGCGCUGCCUGCCCGCCUGCCUCCGGCGCCGCCGCAGCGCCAACGUCAAACGUGUGGGCUGAUCCCCGCAGCCAGGCCCGAGGACCGGAGGACCCUGGUGCCAGGGUCCAGGAGCGCCCUCCCCAGCCAGGGAGGGCAGGCGCAGUUUUCCCGAGAUGCCGCCCAGCUCUCUCCCCCCUCCUCUUCCACCCUCCUUCUCCUUCUUUCUCCAUUUCUACCCUUUGCAGGCGAGGAUCCCCCUCAACCGGGACACGGACACGAGCACAAUUCACGUGUUUCGCCAGGCAGCCUCGACACGCCUCGUCACCGUUUGUCUGCGUCCGGACUGCAGUGGGUCCCUGUGGCUCCAGCCAGUCACAGAGGGGGAUCAGACAUGGUUUUAACUUCCUCUCAUGGUCAUUAAAAUGAACAAAAGCUCAUCACUGGCCUGAUCACAGAAUGCUUUAAAAUCAGAAAGUCUGUUUCUUUCUUCAGCAGGUUCCAGUGCUAACUUACCUAACGAGUUUGAGAGCCCUGUAUUGUGGUGUAUGAAACUUUUUUAUAUCCGUUGACUUACUGAAUUGUAGGGCAAGGCUGCAUGCCUAACAAAUGGCUUUUAGGGUCCAGAUAAACCUGUCAGUCACAUCUCCACACGCCCACGAUGAGAUGAGCACAGUAGGAGCAGCAGAGAACAAUGUAAUAGAAAGCAAGUUUUAAAUGCUAUAUUCUAGUAAAACUCUAAAACGGUGCUGAAUGAACAAUACAGGCAAAUAGGAUGCAUUUUCUCUCACUUCCCAACUCUGUAUAUAUAGUAUGCUGUAGGUAGUUUUUUUUUUCUUGGGAGGGGGAUGGAAAAGGAGGGGUGGGAGUUCAGUGUCAUUCCUUCUCUAGAAGGAUGCUGGCUUUUAAUUACUGAGAUAUUUAUUUUUUAAUGAGAAUCCUGAUCUGGUGAUAAAGACAGUCCUAUCCAUUAUACCUAUACCUGAACAGGACACAACUGGUGCCUGCACUGUUCAUUCUGAUACAUGUUACACCAGCAUAUUGGCCUUUAAAAUACAGUGCUGAAAAUGUCCUUGCAGUUGGCAUCUCUACAGUAAGCAGUUACAGCUCUUUUCUACUUGUUUUUACAAAAUUAGAGUUAAAUUCUAUUAAAAAACUGUUUGGUGCUUUCCAUUGUUGAAAUACAGUAUCAUGUUUGUUCUUCUCAAAGCAAAACGAUGUGUUGUAAAUCAAAUCCCUAAAUAAAGCUCAGUGUGUUCUUGAUGGUUCCUUGUGGUGUUUAUAUGUCCCUGUUUGGCCUGGAAACUGGUUAUAAACUGUCAGAUGUGU